rnacentral:lncRNA from 1 species
AACAUUUAUGUGGCAUAUGUGGCGUCCACGUACGACCACAAAUUUCACAAAGCAGCCACUGCUAGAAACACAAACGGUGCCACUGCAAUCUACAAAAUAGACUUUCUCACAGAAAAAUACUCUAAAUCUCUCUCCAGAUUAAACAUUUAUCUACAGCUUAUACGGUCUCAGAUAAUAAUUAAACUACAGGAUAACAUUCAUAUAGUCACAGUACAAGAAAGAGCAAAAUCCACAAAGCAACAGCAAAUUGCACCAUGAAUCAAUCAUUUUUCUUCAGAUCAGGCUGCUAUGCUCUCUAACUGAAGAUUCGGGUGAUCCGUGGAAGCUUACUCCAGAUGCUUGCCUUGAGCAAAACCCUGUAGUCGAAAAAAGAAGAAGAAAAUUUAGUAUGCCAUUAUUUCCUGAAGACCAACGCCUUUUUGAACUACAUGGCUAGCAGCUAGCAGUAUAUGGUAUUUGAUAAUAUAUCUGGCUAAGAAACUACUAUGUAAAGCAUCAAAUAAGAGUGAUAUAUAUACAGUUGAUUGCUUGAUAAUAUAUCUGACUGUUGCAGAUUCCAC